rnacentral:lncRNA from 1 species
GAACACAAAAUGGCGACACGUGGUUAGCAUUCGUCGCCAACGAGAAAUUGGGGUCGGCCCGAAAGCUCUAGAAUGCACCCCUCUUCCUCCCCGGGGCCUUCCACCUCCGCGAGUUUUAUGACUUAAAAAAGCCCACAGGCUGGUCUGAAGAGGAAGACAAACAUAAAGAUGAAGUGCUUAAUUCAAGGUCACACAAUGUCGGGGAUGGACCUCCAGAUUUCCUUACUGGAAAACAAGCUCAGGGCUCCCACUGAUUGUACAUUAUGAGACGGAGUCUUGCUAUGUUGCCCAGGCUGGUCUUGAACUCCUCACCUCAAGCGAUCCUCCCGUCUUGGCCUCCCAAGUGUCAGGAUUACGGGCAUGUGCUAUCACACCCAACCUGAUACAUUGCCUUUAUAAAUUUUUUUUUCUUUAUUCUAAAAACCAGAAAAAACAAAACUGGAUACAUGUGCAGAACAUGCAGGUGAGACGUGGUCUUGUAACACAGUGGUUAAGAAUGUGACUUUGGAGCCAGCCUGCUAGGGGCUGAAUUCUGACUCAGCCAUUUACUAACUG